CAUUGCUGGAGCUUUUAUGUGUAAUUCAGUGUCCCCUGGGUUUAAAUGAGUGUGCAACUGCUGGUCAUUUUUGGGUUCUGUGCGGAUCUUUUACCCUCAGCCCACAUUGGGGUGGAUUUUCCGGUUUUGAAGGGUUGGUGCGGAUUGUGAACUUGGGCUAGUGCCCUUCGUCGACAUGCGAGCGAUACUUUGCAGCAUGGCUGCGCACGGCUGCAAAGUAUGGCUUCAGCUUCAGCAAUGUUUUUCAAUUUUCCUCAUAUAUCUUGUCUGGUCUGUCAUGUCCAUCAACAAGCAAAUCUGCAAUGUGCUACACCAGUGUCCCAAAAUUAGGGAUAUUUUGGCUUGGGUGUUCGAGGGUAAAAUUCCUCACUACAAAGAGGACUGAAAGUGGAAAAUUGCCAGUCAGAAAGAUACAAAGAAGAAUGAAAACAUGAUCACCAUUUUCUAUGUGAAUGUUACAGGAUGUGGGAGCUGCGAUGAUUUAAUGGAAUUUGAAUGUAGGUACAAGCCAGCCAGCAAAUGUACAUGCGGAUGAUUUAGUUGUUAAAGUUGGGAGGGCAACUUGUCCUGGAAAAUUAAAGGUGAGAGUGGACCGAGUGGACUAUUCAAUUUCACAAGGAUUUCACUUUCCACCCAAAUCUUGGGACACUGGGCUACACUAGAUCUGCACCCUACCAGCCAAAUCCGCACCACGCCGCAUCAGAUCAGCACCAGCUGAACAAGCCUGCACCGACAAGCUUUUGUCAAAAUUGCAAUGCUUUGCAGACUGGGAAACUACUAGGCGCAAAUCCAAAUAUUGAUCGACCAAUAAACAGUUGAACAGCAACAUGGUAAACCGUUGUUGUGUCAAGACAUGCAAGCAACACUUUGAUUACAAGCCCCAACAUAAGCAGGGUGCAAAAUGGAAACUACACAGAACCUUGGUACGUCACCUGCGACGGCGACGUCACCUGCGAGUUCCGCGGAACCCCUGACGCCGUCACCAGCUGGACCAUCCGCGGCACUGGACCAUCCAGCGACGGCCGUGACGCCGUCACCAGCUGGACCAUCCGCGGCACUGGACCAUCCAGCGACGGCCGUGACGCCGUCACCAGCUGAACCAUCCGCGGCCCUGGACCAUCCAGCGACGGCCGUGACGCCGUCACCAGCUGGACCAUCCGCGGCACUGGACCAUCCAGCGACGGCCGUGGCGUCGACUCUGCCGGUGCCGGAGAGGUCGGCGACGUCACCUGCGCCGCUGGUGUCAACACCGCAUGGACAUCAGCUGCGAGCUGGUAAACGGCGGUGGAGUGGAAGCAGAGCGCGCAAGCCACCAGCCAGCUGACUCAGAGCCCAGGGGGCGUUCGCCACCAACAUCCGCACGGCGCAGCUGCAGAGGUGAUUUCUGCCAUGGAGCAGCAUCCGCGGCUCCAUGACAUCAUCCUUCCAUCAUUCUCCAUCAUCAUUUCCGGAGCUCACCCGACGGCGGAGCUGGCUUAGGUCGGCGUUUGAGGCGCGGCGGGGGGCAACGUCUCUGUGCCCUGCUCCGGGUCCCCGCCGCCUGCGGUCUCUUCUGCUGCCGCCACUGAGGGGAACGGCUCUUCUUUGAAGACAUCAUCGGUCGACGGUGAUGCUGGCGGGCCGGUGGCGGCGUGCCCCGUCGGCAGCGCGCCUGGGGAGGACGCUGGUGACGACGAAUCUUCAUCGCCGUCGGCACCGGUCGCGAGCGAGUCGCUGUUUAGUUGGCCUGCUACUGUGCCAAAAAGUGCGACUGUGGCCAGACUGGUAUACGAUUUGUCAGUGCUUACGCCCCUCUUGCCGUGCCGGCCGUGCUCUUUGCCGUCUAUUGGGGAUGCGUUAGAGUUAUCGUUUUGGGGUUUAUACCGGUAUCAAGAUUGAUUUAAAAGAUGGAUUUCAUCACAUUUCUCGCGCACGUUCCACACGUCCUUUUGGUGUUUUGUAUGAUGGUAAAACGUGCUUAUACCUUUUCUCUGUUACCAAUGGGCCCUAUUAGGUACUGCAUCUCCUGCAUUAUUAGGUAGAGAUGCAGUACCAUUAUUAGGUACUGCAUUAUUAGGUACUGAAGGAGAUGCAGUUAGGUACUGCAUCUCCUUCGGAGAUGCAGUACCUAACAGAUGCUUUCAGUGAACUUGUAGAGUCGAGAUUUAACGUCAGGUGUUUGGCGUAUUUAGAUGAUUUUCUUUUCAUGUCCAAGGACGCUGAAUGGUAUCGCUGCGUUUCUGACUAGUGUUGGGUUGUGUAUUAAUUUCAAUAAAUUAGUUCUCGUUCCGUU